UACGUAGGGGGCAAGCGUUAUCCGGAAUUACUGGGUGUAAGGGGAGCGUAGACGGCAAUGCAAGUCCGGAGUGGAAUGCGGCAGCUCAACUGCCGAACUGCUCUGGAAACUGUAUGGCUUGAGUGCAGGAGGGGUAAGCGGAAUUCCUGGUGUAGCGGUGAAAUGCGUAGAUAUCAGGAGGAACACCGGUGGCGAAGGCGGCUUACUGGACUGUAACUGACGUUGAGGCUCGAAAGCGUGGGGAGCAAACAGG
rnacentral:rRNA from 1 species